GACGAACGCUGGCGGCGUGCUUAACACAUGCAAGUCGAACGAUGAAACCUAGCUUGCUAGGUCGAUUAGUGGCGAACGGGUGAGUAACACGUGACUAACCUGCCCCUUUCUCUGGGAUAACGCUCCGAAAGGAGUGCUAAUACCGGAUACUCACAUCGAGGCACAUGCCUUGAUGUGGAAAGUUUUUCGGAAAGGGAUGGAGUCGCGGCCUAUCAGCUUGUUGGUGAGGUAACGGCCCACCAAGGCGACGACGGGUAGCCGGCCUGAGAGGGCGACCGGCCGCACUGGGACUGGGAUACGGCCCAGACUCCUACGGGAGGCAGCAGUGGGGAAUAUUGCACAAUGGGCGCAAGCCUGAUGCAGCGACGCCGCGUGAGGGAUGAAGGUCUUCGGAUUGUAAACCUCUUUCAGUAGGGACGAAGCGAAAGUGACGGUACCUAAAGAAGAAGCACCGGCUAACUACGUGCCAGCCGCCGCCGUAA
rnacentral:rRNA from 1 species